UACGUAGGGCGCAAGCGUUAUCCGGAAUUAUUGGGCGUAAAGAGCUCGUAGGCGGCAUGCCGAGCCCGGGGUGAAAGCCCCCGGCUCAACCGGGGAAGUGCCUUGGGGACCGGCGUGCUCGAGGGGGGUAGGGGUCGCGGGAACUUCGGGUGGAGCGGUGAAAUGCGCAGAUAUCAGGAGGAACACCGGUGGCGAAGGCGGGUCUCUGGGCCGAUACUGACGCUGAGGAGCGAAAGCGUGGGGAGCGAACAGG
rnacentral:rRNA from 1 species